ACCUGAGCUGAAGGCAGAGGCUUUAACCCAUUGAGGCACCCAGGCACCCCUGUUUUUGUUUUUGUUUUUACAUUAUAGCCAUCUUAACAGGUGUGAAGUAGUUUUGAUGGUUUGGGUAUGUUUUUACCUAAUAACAAAUGACGUUGAACAUCUUUUUGUGUUCUUGUCAGCCACGUAUACAUCUUUGGACCUAUGUCUACCCAGAUCUUUACCCAUUUUAAAAAAUGGGGUCCUUUUUACUACUGAGUUAUGUGAAUUAUUUUUAUUAUUUCUCUCAAGUGUAUCUGAAAUUUUUCUGUUCCUUAGUACCCAUCCUAUUGAGUAGCUAAGAAAAGGAAAGAAAAAGGAAAUGAAUCUAUUUUGCUAUUACUUAGCAGUUCUUAUAAAGUUUAAUAAAGGAAGUUGGACUAGGAAGCUUAUAGGAUGUUUGGUUAUUAGUAAUUCCCCUUUUAUCUGGCACUGAUUUCACCAACAAGGGGGAAGAAACAGGUAUUAGUUGUGUACCUGGCACUUUGUAGGAAAGCAUGUCCACAUGCCAUGUUAUUAAUCUUCUCCACAACUUUGGUAGGUAUUUUCUGCUUUUAUAGAUGAGACAACUGAAGUUCAGAGAGGUUAAAUAACUUAUCCAAGGUCACUCCAGAGGUAACUAGCAAACAUGGGGUUCAAAGUCAAGUUUGUCUCACUUCAGAGGAUAAACCUUUCUCACAGCCCCUCUUAGACCUUUCGAUCAUAAUAAUUACUCAUAAUUACCUUAGAAGUAGUUUUUUGGCUAAGAAAUGUGCUAUCUAAAAGGAUCUCCUAAUCCACUCUCAUUAGGACGUAUGACAGGUUUUGUCUGUGGCCUUGACACUAUUAAGAAACAGGAGCUAACAGACCAUAAUAGAAACUCCUGUCAACCUUCCCUGGGGAAAUGUAUGCACUCUCUGAGGUUUUCAUGCUGUCUUCUGUGUCAUUCUUCGAGAGUCCCCAGGAACUAGUCCGUUGGCUGUACUUGGUGGCUGAAAGCACCACUUCUCACAUUUCCCUUCCCAGGUGUCUGCUCUGCAGCACGGCCACUGUGUGAGUCCCUCUUUCAUGCCUGUCCCUUCAGCAGAUCCUCACUUCCUACCCCACGGACUCCCCAUAGCCAUCUCUAAACAAAUAGGAAGUUCUCCCAAGAAAACCAUUUUCUAAGUAUUUUUGUUAAUAAGUGCAGGGAAUUAGAAUGGAAUAUGAGCUUAAAAUUAUAAAAAACGUAAUCUGUGGCUACUCCAGUGACUCAUAAAUUAUAGCAUUUUCUUAAGUCUUUGUCUUCAAACUAUAGGGUUUUUGUCACCAUUAAUAGCCUUCAUAAGCAGCAGCUUGAUUCGGUCUUCGAGCCUCUGUCUAAUCUGGUCACAACCUGCCUUUCCAUCCUUUCCCAUUGUUUUGUGGUUGUCCCUGCAGGUCAGCGAAACAGAGUAGCGUUUGUCAUCGGAAUAUACUCCAAAAGCCUGCUUAUACUGUUCUCUCUGCCCAGAACACAUGCACUUGUCCGUUUCUCAAACUCUAUGAGAAAUGGGUUGAGGCCCAGUUCAAAACUAGCUCUUCCAUAAAUCCUUGUCGUGGUAGCAAGAAAUGUUUACAGUGAAGCAUCUCCUGUCCUUCUGGACUAGAGGUAGAAAUCAGAAUAAUUAGAAGCUGAGAGAUGAUGAGGUUUUUCCCUGUUGCUACCUCUGUGUAACUGUGGAGAAGUCCCGUCUCUCAGGCCUGUUUCCCCCUUUCUCAACUAUCCCACUCAGGGAAAAAAAUGAGUUUGCCUCCUCCUUUUAGGUCCCAGUAACUCUUUGCCCUCCUUGUUGUCACCUAUAUACUCUGGUUGCCUGGUAAUUCCUUGUUUUCUUGUAUUUAUUCUGUAGGAGAUUAGAAGCCUGGUGGAGAGUGCCUCUGUCUGGCCAUUAACAAUAUACAUCUGGCACUUGACAUAAAUCUGGUGUGUGGUAGCUGCCUGUUAAUACUUACCGAAUGCCUGUUUACAUACUUAUUCUUGUAUUCUUGUGCUCCCUCCAGGGCCUAUUUAAAACAUCAAGAUUGAGCACUCGGGGACAUUGUUGAGUUGACAACCUUGCUCCAUUGUUUUCUGCCUCCUUUCUUGGGGCAUUCUUGAGAACUGGAGAUUUAUUUUUUAUUCGUCUCCCAUAUUCAUAGAAGAAGCUGCAUUCCAGCAUCCUUUUCAGAAAGCACAGGGUGAGGUAAAAGUGAAUAUCUGUAUUCUGAAGAGGAUCUUUCUGAGUGAGCCAAGAACUCUCAUAAGAUUAUUGUCUCAAGAAGAACAUUUCAUAAUAAAAAAAUAUUGGGGGCUCAGUUUGGGACAUUCUUGGGAAAUAAAAAGUUCCUUUAUUGACCAAGAAAAUUCAUAUUGUAAUGUAGAGAGAAAAGAGGAAAAUUAUUCCAAUCCUUGUCUUUUAGAGAUUCAGACUGAAAUGUCUGAUAUCUGGGAUUUGCAUCAAAACAAUGAGUGGGUGGUUUUAGUGGGUGACAGACUAGAUUGGUCACAGGUUAGUAAGAGCUGAAUCUGCAGAAUAGGCACACAAAGGUUACUUAAUCUGUUCUGUUACUUUUGUCUUUAUUUAAAAGUUUUCCCACUAAUGACUUAGAAUUUUUAGCCACAUAGCAUAGGUUUUAGAAUCAAGCAGGCCUGAACUGAAGACUGACGUCAUUCCUUGUUAGCUGUGUUAACUUGGACAAGUCUAACCUCUUUGAAUUUACCUCUCUGUGUCCCCUGUGAAACAGAUACUACUUUUCAGGGUUCUUUUGAGUUUUCAAACACACAAUACAUACAAUACAUGUAUGCAUAUACAUAUCUGCAAUGGCUAAGUUCUAGCCUAACCAAUCCACUGAAGACAAACCAAUUUGGCCAUAUUUAGAGAGAAGACAAAUCUUAAUUCUAUUUCCCCACUUGCUGCUGAAUAGGAAGGCCUUUCAUCUCCCUGGGGUCCCUUCUCAACAUUUCCAAUGAUCUCUAGGGACAUAUACUGAUAACUCCUAAUGUCCUCCAGGCCCCACCAAGUAGUGGGUCCCAGGGAAAGAGAUGUAAUCUCCCCCACAGAUUGUGGGGAAAAGAAGCUGGUUCCACCACUCAUAUCUCUGCAGUCUUCUUUGUUCAUGAUCCCUCCUGCCCACCGGCCCUCCAUGUUGACCUCCUUGGAGCUCUGUGUCUGAUCACCUAGGGAAUCUUCUCUCCCUGGCUGGUAGAGAGAUCAGUUCUCCCUUCAGGUCUUCCUGUGGUGCUGGGUAGAUUGCUUGUGAUGGGAUUGUUCAAAUUUCCCUCUCAGUGAAUUUCAAGGCACAUAAAUAAUCCAGCAGGCUGGGAGGCACCGUGGUCAGUAAGCAGCAGCCUCCCACUGCCUCCAGUACUGCGGCUCCCUUCAGGAGCUAGGCCUGGUGGUCCAUUUAGCACAACUUCCUCAACUCUUCCUCACUCUUGGCAGUUUCUCUCCAGGGCCCAGCUGUCUCUCCUUACAGUCUGUCAUCUAUGCCUUAAUCACUGCUUCCACCGUGGAGUCUGAACAGCACAGCAAGCAACCCAAGUGCCAAACUAGACAUGUGCUUAGGUACCUGUGUGAGUUCCCAAAAACUCCAAAAAUUCAGGAACUUCAUGAAAAUUCUAUGAUUACGAAACUGAUUAUGAAAAUGAUUCUUCUGUCCACCUAUUCCAGUCUCAGAUCUGACCCCACCAAGACACUUUAUAGUAUGUAUGUGAAGUUCCUGGUUCCCAGUAAACCCUCAGAAAAUAGCAGCUGUGACUGUCCUCCAGGAUCAGAAUGAUCAGCAUCGUGAAGGUCAGAAGAUCCCUUGCCAUGAGCGUUAUGUAGUGUGCAGAUCUGUCACAUCCCAAUCUUGUAUAUCUGAAACCAAUAUAGCACUGAAUGUCAACCACACAUCAAUUAAAAAAAAAAAAAGAGGGGUGCCUGGGUGGCUCAGUUGG